GCGAGCCGUGCAGCAGGAGCUGGGGAAGGGAGGACCACCAGUUGAGGCAUCAGUAGACGUUUUCUAAAUUUAGGUAGCUUGCUUCACAGCCUCAGAGAGGACAAUUACUUCAGGCGAAUAAAAGUUACUUUUAAAGCCUUCCUUCCCUCCCUUUCUUUUCACAAAUGUGUGCAUGCAUGUCUAUGCAAGAGGUUGGCUUCAGGUCUUGUUCCUCAGGAGCUGUCCACAUUGUUUGAGGCAUGGUCUGCCACUGGGACCUGGAGCUUGCCAGUUAAGAUAUGCUGGCUGGCUGCUAGGGGCCACACCGAUGUGAGUGGCCUGCAUUGUUACCAUGGUCAUGCCCAGGCCUGUACUGCUGCUGUGAGCCAUGCCUAGGUUCAUGAUGUUGCCUGUUUCUACCUGAGCUCACUCACAGUUUGCCUGUGUUUUUAGAGGAAAUGUCAUAUUUGCUGAUUUUAAAACCAAGUUUCCUUUUUAUUGCCUGUUUGGCUUUCCUUGCUUUAGAUGAACAAUGUUUCUCCCUGAGAUGAAGCUGCAGUGCGCCUGUCCACUGUUGUCGGGGCUGUGUUGAUUCCUCUGAAGACUGUUAACUUUGUUGAGGUCCUAAUGUCUCUUCUUUGCUGAUGUUUUAGUAUCGUGUACAAGACUCUUAUUCCCUAAUCCAAGGUCAGGAAGAUUUACAGCCAGACAUGCUGGUACAUUCUGGUAGUCCCAGCAUUCAGGAGACUGAAGCAGGAAGGACAAAGUUUAAGGCAGUUUGUUGUAUAUAGCAAGAUCCUGUCUCAAAAAUAAUAAUAAAAAAAAGAGCUAUAGAUUGUCAUUUUCCCCCUGUUCUUUUCUGAUGGGAAAAGCAUGUUGCUUUGAUUUCAGGCCUU
rnacentral:lncRNA from 1 species